rnacentral:rRNA from 1 species
CGGGGUACUCGAGUGGCGAACGGGUGAGUAACACGUGGGUGAUCUGCCCUGCACUUCGGGAUAAGCUUGGGAAACUGGGUCUAAUACCGGAUAGGAGCCAUCUUUAGUGUGGUGGUUGGAAAGUUUUUUCGGUGUAGGAUGAGCUCGCGGCCUAUCAGCUUGUUGGUGGGGUAAUGGCCUACCAAGGCGGCGACGGGUAGCCGGCCUGAGAGGGUGUACGGCCACAUUGGGACUGAGAUACGGCCCAG